rnacentral:rRNA from 1 species
GACGUAUCAGAUAGUUGGUGAGGUAACGGCUCACCAAGUCAUGACGCGUAGCUGUACUGAGAGGUAGAACAGCCACAAUGGGACUGAGACACGGCCCAUACUUCUACGGGAGGCAGCAGUAGGGAAUUUUUCACAAUGGGCGAAAGCCUUAUGAAGCAAUGCCGCGUGAACGAUGAAGGUCUAUAAGAUUGUAAAGUUCUUUUAUUUGGGAAGAACCACUAAAAUAGGAAAUGAUUUUAGUUUGACUGUACCAUUUGAAUAAGUAUCGGCUAACUAUGUGCCAGCAGCCGCGGUAAUACAUAGGAUGCAAGCGUUAUCCGGAUUUACUGGGCGUAAAACGAGCGCAGGCGGAUUUGUAAGUUUGGUAUGAAAUCUAGAUGCUUAACGUCUAGCUGUAUCAAAAACUACGAAUCUAGAGUGUAGCAGAGAGUUGGGGAACUCCAUGUGGAGCGGUAAAAUGCGUAGAUAUAUGGAAGAACACCGGUGGCGAAGGCGCCAACUUGGACUAUUACUGACGCUUAGGCUCGAAAGUGUGGGGAGCAAAUAGGAUUAGAUACCCUAGUAGUCCACACCGUAAACGAUCAUCAUUAAAUGUCGGCUCGCUUAUGAGUCGGUGUUGUAGCUAACGCA